ACGUAGGGUGCGAGCGUUAAUCGGAAUUACUGGGCGUAAAGCGUGCGCAGGCGGUUUUGUAAGCCAGAUGUGAAAUCCCCGGGCUUAACCUGGGAACUGCGUUUGAAACUACAAGGCUAGAGUGUGGCAGAGGGGGGUGGAAUUCCACGUGUAGCAGUGAAAUGCGUAGAGAUGUGGAGGAACACCGAUGGCGAAGGCAGCCCCCUGGGCCUGCACUGACACUGAGGCACGAAAGCGUGGGGAGCAAACAGGA
rnacentral:rRNA from 1 species